rnacentral:misc_RNA from 1 species
AUCCAGAAACGGAUGGAUA